AACACAUGCAAGUCGAACGAAGCACUUCUUACGAGUCCCUCGGGUGACGAGUUGUGACUGAGUGGCGGACGGGUGAGUAACGCGUGGGUAACCUGCCUUAUACAGGGGGAUAACAGUUGGAAACGGCUGCUAAUACCGCAUAAGCGCACAGUAUCGCAUGAUACAGUGUGAAAAAACUCCGGUGGUAUAAGAUGGACCCGCGUCUGAUUAGCUAGUUGGUGAGGUAACGGCUCACCAAGGCGACGAUCAGUAGCCGAUCUGAGAGGAUGAACGGCCACAUUGGGACUGAGACACGGCCCAGACUCCUACGGGAGGCAGCAGUGGGGAAUAUUGCACAAUGGGCGAAAGCCUGAUGCAGCCGACGCCGCGUGAGCGAUGAAGUAUUUCGGUAUGUAAAGCUCUAUCAGCAGGGAAGAUAAUGACGGUACCUGACUAAGAAGCACCGGCUAAAUACGUGCCAGCCGCCGC
rnacentral:rRNA from 1 species